GAUGAACGCUAGCUACAGGCUUAACACAUGCAAGUCGAGGGGUCUCGCGGGAGCUUGCUCCCAAGAGACGACCGGCGCACGGGUGAGUAACGCGUAUCCAACCUGCCCUUCAUAUUGGGAUAGCCUUCCGAAAGGAAGAUUAAUACCGAAUAACAUAGAGUGGUUGCCUGAUUUCUCUAUGAAAGCUCCGGCGAUGAAGGAUGGGGAUGCGUUCCAUUAGGUAGUAGGCGGGGUAACGGCCCACCUAGCCAACGAUGGAUAGGGGUUCUGAGAGGAAGGUCCCCCACACUGGAACUGAGACACGGUCCAGACUCCUACGGGAGGCAGCAGUGAGGAAUAUUGGUCAAUGGGCGCAAGCCUGAACCAGCCAAGUAGCGUGAAGGAUGACUGCCCUAUGGGUUGUAAACUGCUUUGCGGGAGAAUAACCGGCGCCACGCGUGGCGCCCUGCAUGUAUCCCGCGAAUAAGGACCGGCUAAUUCCGUGCCAGCAGCC
rnacentral:rRNA from 1 species